rnacentral:rRNA from 1 species
UACGAAGGGGGCUAGCGUUGCUCGGAAUUAUUGGGCGUAAAGAGCUCGUAGGCGGUUUGUUGCGUCGGCUGUGAAAUCCCGAGGCUCAACCUCGGGUCUGCAGUCGAUACGAGCAAACUAGAGUGUUGCAGGGGAGACUGGAAUUCCUGGUGUAGCGGUGAAAUGCGCAGAUAUCAGGAGGAAUACCGGUGGCGAAGGCGGGUCUCUGGGCAACAACUGACGCUGAGGAGCGAAAGCGUGGGGAGCGAACAGG